rnacentral:rRNA from 1 species
UACGUAGGGGGCGAGCGUUGUCCGGAAUCAUUGGGCGUAAAGCGCGUGUAGGCGGCUCGGUAAGUCUGCUCUGAAAGUCCAAGGCUCAACCUUGGGAUGCGGGUGGAUACUGCCGGGCUCGAGUCCGGAAGAGGCGAGUGGAAUUCCUGGUGUAGCGGUGAAAUGCGCAGAUAUCAGGAGGAACACCAAUGGCGAAGGCAGCUCGCUGGGACGUGACUGACGCUGAGACGCGAAAGCGUGGGGAGCAAACAGG